CAAGUGAUUUGGGAUUUUCAGACUCUGGUAAGCAGUCA
rfam:Loxodonta africana unplaced genomic scaffold scaffold_75, whole genome shotgun sequence.